CUCUCUGACAAUGUUUAAAAAGAUCCUUAUAUUUUCCUCAUCCACAAUAUAUAUUUACAAUGUAUAUAUAAAAUUCUCUGUAAAUACUUUUAUAACCCACGAAGACGCGCGUAUUUUUUCUCUCGCAACAGCGCGGCAAAACUAAAACGUAAGCUUGAAAGCAACUAAAAAAAAUCGAAAAGUUUUAUCUCAAUCCUGGCAAGGCGCAUGAAUCUUUUUUAACAGUAUUUAGACUUACAAAUUUACUUAUGCACACGAUUAUUGAUUUUUUUCUUUUUUUUUGUUUACUGUAUUUUAUCUUGUGAAGUAUGUGGUAUUAAUUUAUAUAUACGUGGUGUUUUUCAGGCAAAUAUCCGUGCAAUUACUGUUCAAGCAAAUUCAAACGGAAGGGAAGUCUUGUCACGCAUCUGAAAUACGAAUGUGGCCAACCACCGCGAUUCAAAUGCCCGUAUUGCGACUUGAUAUCUAAAAAGACGUCGAAUAUACAGAAACACAUUCGCCGAAAACAUGACGGCUCUGUUGUUUAUGUCAUAGACAUUUGUCGAUUUCCAAAUACGCAAUAUGUAUAAAAGUUCAAAACUUGGGUGCUUUAGACGCGUCCCUCAGAUUGACACAGAGCGGCCUCUUCAAAUCCAAGGUAUGUUUGUACGGUUGUACGAAAUGCGACAGUGUUUACAACAGAAAGACAAAUCUGAUGAGGCACAUGAAGUUCGAAUGCGGUCAACCUCCUCGCUUCAAGUGCCCGUACUGCGAACUCGUCUCGAAGAAGACCUCGAACGUGCGGAUACACAUACGGAGGAAACAUCGGGGCAACGACGUUUACGUUCUGAAGAAUCCAAAAUUCGAAUAUAUAACGACGACGACAUUUUGAUGUUAGAUAUACGUAAUUUUAAAAUAUAAUAAAUUCAGAGCUUUUUUGUAAAAUAAAACUAAACCCCGAAUUAAAUGUCAAUGAAUUCACCGAAACCCUCCACUCGUCGAUCGUCCGAUCUUCGAUCAGAAACUAGCUACCGCCGCAUGCCUUAUGAAACUGUCUUUUAAUCUCGAACCGCCGAAUUUGUAGAAAUUUGAUUGCCAGUCGCAGACUUUUUUUUUAAUAAUUUUUCAAAUGUGCAUUUCUCGAGUGUGUGUGCGUGUGUUUUUUUAAAACGUGCGUUGAGUCUCUUUUGGGUCAUGGGACUUUGUUUGGAAGAGAAGUUGAGCUUUAUCUCGAUAUAUAUCACUCGAUACGUAGGUAAAAAUCGCGCGCAAAAAAAAAGGUGAGAGAGCGAGUGCGAUUGUUUCACGAAAAACUUGUGUUUUUCAGUUCACAGAUUCGAAGAGAAAACGAGCGCGAGCGGACGGAUUUUUCGCUGUCCAAAUUGCAGGAGCGUGUUCCGAAAGGCGCGGGGUCUGCGGGAACACUUGAACUAUUUGUGCGGCCAGGCGCCGAGAUUCCAGUGCCCUUACUGUAGUCACCGAUCGAAACUAAUGUCGAAUCUUUACAAACAUGUGCGCCGUAAACACCACGGCCAGCCGGUUUGGUGUAUCGACUUACUGAAGAUGUAGCAAAAUGUACACAAAACGCGCCUUUGGUUUUUCAUCAUUUCGCCAUUAAUGACAUUCUACUUUUGUUUGAACAUUAAUUUCACACUAAGUAACCGUGCGAAUGCAUGAAGCAAAAUACGUAACAAUACGUUUUGUCUAAUAAAAUAACAAUUUCUAACAAUCGCAAAAGGAGAUUCUUGGACGAAACGCUGUCUACAUUUGGAGCAGAUGUUUCUUUGCGUGUUCAACUUCACGUUAUACAUAUUAUAGAUAGAAACAAGUUGUCUAUUUUAUUAUGUUUUAACAUAAGUUUUUAAUAUACUUUUUUCGUGACUUUGUUUUUAUCGUGCGAGUACUGCGUAGCCGUUCGUGUUUUGCACUUCUUUUUUCUUCUUGCAGACACAAUUUUUCCCAUUGACUGUGGUUUCUUCGACAAGAUGGAGACGCCACCGAGGUCGCAACUUGAAACCAAAUUUCCUUGUCCGAACUGCACCAGCGUUUUCAACCGGAAGAACAACCUGCAAAAACAUCUCAAGUACGAGUGCGGCCAGUCGCCGAGAUUCAAGUGUCCUUAUUGCAACUACCGUUCGAAGAAGACCUCGAAUGUACGCGCGCACAUACGCGGGAUUCACAGCAGCAAUGACGUCUUUGUGAUCGAUGUGAAAAAAGAUCGAUGUGAAUCGAAUAAUGAUCGGCAGUUCGGAAAACUUUGAAUUGUCAAAAGUCAUUUAGAGACAAGAUUUGAAGGUCACAUUUAAGUUUAAUUAACGACAAUCAAAACAUACAAUUGUGCAUAAAGUUGGUGUUUUUAUAUAAGAAUGUAUUGCUCUUUUUUAUUAAAUAACUUUAUAAGAACAUAUAUAUAUAUAUAUAUACGUAUACGUAUAUACAUAUAUACGUAUGUAUAUAUACGUGAAUAAACUGCGAGUUUUUUACGUUUGCAUGAAUGAAUUUUGUUAUUUACUACAGCAAGGACACAUCCAUGAAUCCAACGUGACAAACCGAAGUCAACUCACACAACGAGAUAUUUUCGGGAUGACAGUAUCUCCCGAUAUCGUUACACAUUCUUGAUCUGUAUUUGUCUCUUUCCGUCUCUUCGCAGUAUCAAAUUAAAUGGACGCGACACCUUCCGACGAAGCUCUGACGUACGUCUUCUGAACGUUUUCUUGCAGAUCUGGUGGUCGGCUCCAAGAUGCUAUCCGAAGCGAAGUUUACUAACAUCGGGCGGUUUCCUUGCCCAAAGUGCUCGAGCAUCUUCAGCCGGAAGAACAAUCUCUACUCGCACGUCAAGUUCGAGUGCGGGCAGCUGCCGCGCUUCGGCUGUCCUUACUGCAACUACGCCUCGAAGAAAUCGUCCAACAUACGUGCUCACGUGCGCAGAAAGCACCUCGGCUGCGAAGUCCAUGUGAUACGCGUCUCACUAGCGAACGUCUUCUAAUCAUUUUUAUCGAACAAGCUUACUUAGCUUAACACACGAGGCUGGUGUGUUUAAAAUACUCUUGGGACAUUUCCGUGUACUUAGCACUAAGUCUACGUGCACGUGAGAAGCAGUUUUAUCAAACUGCUUCGUCUUUCUCUAGUGAUCAUUUCCGAAGUGAUUACUUCGCUUUGUUCUUGUCGCGCACAGAAAGUCAAUAUUAUAUUUAGUCAAUAUAUAAUACUAGCUUUGUUAUUUAGUUAGAGAAUAAAAUUGCAUAAAAACAUUCUUGCGAACAUGACUUGCGAACAUGACUUGCGAACAUGACUCUUGUUACUUUUCGGUAGUUCCUUGUUUAAGAUAACUCGCCUAACGGAAGAAAACGAUCGCAUGAGAUCCCCACGUCACCCAGAAUCACUGACGACUUGUUUUUAAGCACAGGAAGAUCGUUGGCACACUCCCUUCAUCAUUUACCGUAAAAUUGUCUGCAAUUCGAAGAAAGUUUAACACACACGCACAAUUUCCAUUAAAAACAAAAAUCACCUCUUUUUUCAACUCUUCAUCUUUUUUUUCUAUCCUAUCUAUCUGCAUCGGAUCACGUGUCGCGGUACAAUCGAAACUUUGACGGGAUCGACGCGCCUGUUUGUGUUGCAGACUGACACUGUAUGAUCGUCCCGUUGUCGUCCACAUUUACGCACACGCGGACGUACGAUUUUGACAUGUCGUUUCCUUCGGCGAUCGCGAUCGACGAUCAUCGACGAUGUUCGACGGGGCAGAAGCUGGCGAAGCCGUAUCCGUGCGACAAGUGCAGCAGCGAGUUCAAGCGGAAGGGCGGUCUUACGUAUCAUCAGAAGUACGAGUGCGGCCAGCCGCCCCGAUUCAAGUGCGCGUACUGUACGUAUGUCGCCCGUCACAUCUCGAACGCCCGCCGACACGUGCGCAAAUGCCAUCCAGGACAGGACAUGCAGAUCACCGAUUUGCAUCUGUCCAGUCAGACGCAGUAUCAGCAACCGCGGCGCAAUCUCUGAGGUCGCGCGUCGUCCGGCAAGACUGUCUCUCAUCCUGAAGAACGACGAUACGCGAAGACCAAAGAGAACAGCUUGCUGCACCGUGCGGUACACUCGAAACGUCGUACGAAGAUGAUCUGUCGUCAAAAAUCAACGUCGCAUCCGACAAGAACGGUAGAGAUCGAAGACUUUAAUCUCUUGUUCCUCAGUACAUUAAUCACGAGUGCGAAUUGUAUUACAUAGAUACGGGUAUUUUUCUCUUUUUUUCAGUGAUACGCACAGGACAUCUCGGGCUUUCGUCGCCUCUUGUUUCGCGAAUUCCCUCAGUUCGCUCGAAGAAAUAGACUACGAUAGAAGAUAGACGUUGGCUGUGCCGCGAAGACAGUGUCCGCUGAUACUUUUAAGAAAGACGUACCACGGAAAAUAGUGCCAAAACUAGUGUUUUACGGAUUGUUAUAUAUGAAUUUAGUCGUGAAUCAAAUUGCAAGAUUUACACAGACGCAAUUAGUUUUAAUGUGUAAAUCCAAGUGAAGAAAAAACGAACUAAAAAAGAAACUAGUGAAACGUGUUGGUGAAGCAAUUUUUCAAUAAUCAAACCACAUAUGUUGGUACGUUUUUGUUCUUUAAUUUUUUUAUCAUCGUCAGCUUUAACGAAAAGAAAUGAGAAUAUUUCCAAAUACAAAAAUUAUUGAUUUUGAAAACAGAUAGAACGUAUCUUAAUAUGUAAAUUCCACAAAAAAAUCAGAUGAAAUAUCAUACUUGCUUUUCGUUAAGAAAUAUAAUAAAUUAUUAUCUUCUGUGAUAAUUUAUAGUCUUUAUGAUUUAAGUAUAUGUUGUACAAUAAUUUUUUUUUAUUUUUUUUAAGAAAAAAUUUUGAAAAGCAUAAAUGUGAUUGAAGAGCAUAAUUGUGAUUGGUAAAAAGUAUUAUUUAUGACAAAUUUCUCAAAUUGCAUGGUAUCGAUGUAAUCACAGCGUUAUUACUUUGUUAUCUGUUACGUGUCACUCGUCUACAUUUAUCUUUUCGCUCAGGCACGAGCUGGACGCACAGUUGUAUCACUGUCCAGUUUCUGCCGCUCAACGUGCUUUAUACACCAUCGGCACGAUCGAUAUCUGCUAUUUUUUACUGUUACUGUAUAAUUUAGCGAAUAUAUAUUAGUAAACAAAAUCACAAAGAAAAGUAAAAAAUUGCUGCUUAUACCAAUGACAUGACGAUUCAGCAGCUCUCGAUGCAAGAUGAAAAUAAGAGCCACUAUAGUAGCAUUUUAUCUUGAACUAUCGCUUAGACUCUAAGCCUUAGAGAAAAGUCACUAUAGUGGCGCGCAGUAUUAAAUGAUUAAAUAAAGUUAUUGUCAUUGUUUCUAUAAAGUUACACAAAGAAUCGCGAUUACUCGGUAUUAUUGCGAAAUGCUGGCGAUAGUUUAUGCUUAAAUUAUAGUGAUUUGAUUUUAAGAAAUUAUUAUUUAGUGUUGUUAUAUUAAGUAGAAAUACCAUUUGUGCACAUUUCACAUUUGCUACCACAUUGGUGUGUUCUCUGUUGUGAUACAACAUCGCAAAUGUAUACAUAUGUAAAGUAAUAUUCGCUGAAAAAAAAAAAAAAAAAA